CUAGGAGAAGGGGGCGCUUCAAAGGGUUGAAUGGGCGCUACUUCCAGCAGCAGGAACCGGAGCCGGGGCUGCAAGGGGGGAUGGAGGCCAGCGCCCAGCCCCCCACCUCAGAGGCUGCAGGGAACCAAAUGGAGCCUCCGUUGGCCAUGGCAGUCACAGAGAUGUUGGGCAGUGGCCAGAGCCGGAGCCCCUGGGCUGAUCUGACCAAUGAGGUGGAUAUGCCUGGAGCUGGUUCCGCUGGUGGCAAGAGCUCCCCAGAGCCCUGGCUGUGGCCCCCUACCAUGGUCCCACCCAGCAUCUCAGGCCACAGCAGGGCCCCUGUCCUGGAGCUAGAGAAAGCCGAGGGCCCCAGUGCCAGGCCAGCCACCCCAGACCUGUUUUGGUCCCCCUUGGAGGCCACUGUCUCAGCUCCCAGCCCUGCCCCCUGGGAGGCAUUCCCUGUGGCCACCUCCCCAGAUCUCCCUAUGAUGGCCAUGCUGCGUGGUCCCAAAGAGUGGAUGCUACCACACCCCACCCCCAUCUCCACCGAGGCCAAUAGAGUUGAGGCACAUGGUGAGGCCACCACCACGCCUCCACCCUCCCCUGCUGCAGAGACCAAGGUGUAUUCCCUGCCUCUCUCUUUGACCCCAACAGGACAGGGUGGAGAGGCCAUGCCCACAACACCUGAGUCCCCCGGGGCAGACUUCAGAGAAACUGGGGAGACCAGCCCUGCUCAGGUCAACAAAGCUGAGCACUCCAGCUCCAGCCCAUGGCCUUCUGUAAACAGGAAUGUGGCUGUAGGUUUUGUCCCCACUGAGACUGCCACUGAGCCAACGGGCCUCAGGGGUAUCUCGGGGUCUGAGUCUGGGGUCUUGGACACAGCAGAAAGCCCCACUUCUGGCUUGCAGGCCACUGUAGAUGAGGUGCAGGACCCCUGGCCCUCAGUGUACAGCAAAGGGCUGGGUGCAAGUUCCCCAUCUGCGCCCCUGGGGAGCCCUGGAGUCUUCUUGGUACCUAAAGUCACCCCAAGUUUGGAGCCUUGGGUUGCUACAGAUGAAGGACCCACUGUGAAUCCCAUGGAUUCCACAGUCACGCUGGCCCCCAGUGAUGCUAGUGGAAUUUGGGAACCUGGAUCCCAAGUGUUUGAAGAAGCCGAAAGCACCACCUUGAGCCCUCAGGUGGCCCUGGAUACAAGCAUUGUGACGCCCCUCACGACCCUGGAGCAGGGGGACAAGGUUGGAGUUCCAGCCAUGUCUACACUGGGCUCCUCAAGCUCCCAACCCCACCCAGAGCCAGAGGAUCAGGUGGAGACCCAGGGAACAUCAGGAGCUUCAGUGCCUCCGCAUCAGAGCAGUCCCCUAGGGAAACCGGCUGUUCCUCCUGGGACACCGACUGCAGCCAGUGUGGGCGAGUCUGCCUCAGUUUCCUCAGGGGAGCCUACGGUACCGUGGGACCCCUCCAGCACCCUGCUGCCUGUCACCCUGGGCAUAGAGGACUUCGAACUGGAGGUCCUGGCAGGGAGCCCGGGUGUAGAGAGCUUCUGGGAGGAGGUGGCAAGUGGAGAGGAGCCAGCCCUGCCAGGGACCCCUAUGAAAGCAGGUGCGGAGGAGGUGCACUCAGAUCCCUGUGAGAACAACCCUUGUCUUCAUGGAGGGACAUGUAAUGCCAAUGGCACCAUGUAUGGCUGUAGCUGUGAUCAGGGCUUCGCUGGGGAGAACUGUGAGAUUGACAUUGAUGACUGCCUCUGCAGCCCCUGUGAGAAUGGAGGCACCUGUAUUGAUGAGGUCAAUGGCUUUGUCUGCCUUUGCCUCCCCAGCUAUGGGGGCAGCUUUUGUGAGAAAGACACCGAGGGCUGUGACCGUGGCUGGCACAAGUUCCAGGGCCACUGUUAUCGCUAUUUUGCCCACCGGAGGGCAUGGGAAGAUGCCGAGAGGGACUGCCGCCGCCGCUCCGGCCACCUGACCAGCGUCCACUCAUCGGAGGAACACAGCUUCAUUAAUAGUAGGGGCUCUGGGGAGGGGGCCACCUGCCUGGAGGGUGGGCAGGGGUGGCACUUGUAGCCCUUUUGCCAGGGCAUCGCAUCCCUCCCCUGGUUUUCAAGACAUCAUCUUUCCAAAGCUGUGUUCAUUAAUGCAAGCCCUGACUGCUUCUUAAUGCAUGAAAUCUGUCAAUUCACUUGUUAAUUCAUACAUUCACUUCAUUCAUUCAUUCAUUCAUUCACCAAAUAUUUACUGAGCACCUGCUAUGUGCCGGGCACCAUUCCAGGAAUAUUGACACAGCACAGCAGCAAUCAAGGCUGACUUUGCUCUGUCCCCAGGGAGUGACCAUUUCUUGGGGAGGAUAUAGACAAGCAAGUAAAUAUCUAAGUAAAUAAGUCUAUACUGUAAUUC
rnacentral:sRNA from 1 species